UACGUAGGGGUGCGAGCGUUGUCCGGAAUUACUGGGCGUAAAGAGCUCGUAGGCGGUUUGUCGCGUCGUCCGUGAAAACUUGGGGCUCAACCCCAAGCUUGCGGGCGAUACGGGCAGACUUGAGUACUGCAGGGGAGACUGGAAUUCCUGGUGUAGCGGUGAAAUGCGCAGAUAUCAGGAGGAACACCGGUGGCGAAGGCGGGUCUCUGGGCAGUAACUGACGCUGAGGAGCGAAAGCGUGGGGAGCGAUCCGG
rnacentral:rRNA from 1 species